ACGGAAGGCAGCAGUGGGGAAUAUUGCACCAUGGGCGCAAGCCUGAUGCAGCGAUGCCGCGUGAGGGAAGAAGGUUUUCGGAUUGUAAACCUCUGUCAACAGGGACGAAAAUGACGGUACCUGUGAAGGAAGCUCCGGCUAACUACGUGCCAGCAGCCGCGGUAAUACGUAGGGAGCAAGCGUUAUCCGGAAUUACUGGGUGUAAAGGGAGUGUAGGCGGGACUGUAAGUCAGAUGUGAAAUAUGCCGGCUCAACUGGCAGACUGCAUUUGAAACUGCGGUUCUUGAGUGAAGUAGAGGUAAGCGGAAUUCCUAGUGUAGCGGUGAAAUGCUUAGAUAUUAGGAGGAACAUCAGUGGCGAAGGCGGCUUACUGGGCUUUAACUGACGCUGAGGCUCGAAAGCGUGGGGAGCAAACAGGAUUAGAUACCCUGGUA
rnacentral:rRNA from 1 species